rnacentral:rRNA from 1 species
ACGAGAUAACCGCUGAAAGCAUCUAAGCGGGAAGCUCAUCCCGAGAUAAGGCAUUAUACGUAAUUUAUUACGUAAGGAUCUCCUAGAAGAAGACUAGGUUGAUAGGCUUUAGGUGUAAGCCCUGCAAAGGGUUGAGCCAAGAAGUACUAAUAGAU